rnacentral:rRNA from 1 species
GACGUAGGGUGCGAGCGUUGUCCGGAAUUAUUUGGGCGUAAAGAGCUCGUAGGCGGUUUGUCGCGUCUGCCGUGAAAGUCCGGGGCUCAACUCCGGAUCUGCGGUGGGUACGGGCAGACUAGAGUGAUGUAGGGGAGACUGGAAUUCCUGGUGUAGCGGCGAAAUGCGCAGAUAUCAGGAGGAACACCGAUGGCGAAGGCAGGUCUCUGGGCAUUAACUGACGCUGAGGAGCGAAAAGCGUGGGGAGCGAACAGG